UCAGAAACUUGCUGACCUUGGGACA
rnacentral:piRNA from 2 species